rnacentral:rRNA from 1 species
UACGUAGGCAGCGAGCGUUGUUCGGAAUUACUGGGCGUAAAGAGUGUGUAGGCGGUGCUCUAAGUUCGGUGUGAAAUCUCCCGGCUUAACUGGGAGGGUGCGCCGGAAACUGGAGUGCUCGAGCGUGGGAGAGGAAAGCGGAAUCCUGGUGUAGCGGUGAAAUGCGUAGAUAUCAGGAGGAACACCGAUGGCGAAGGCAGAUC